rnacentral:rRNA from 1 species
AACGAACGCUGGCGGCAUGCCUAGCACAUGCAAGUCGAACGAGACCUUCGGGUCUAGUGGCGCACGGGUGCGUAACGCGUGGGAACCUGCCCUUAGGUUCGGAAUAACUCCCCGAAAGGGGUGCUAAUACCGGAUAAUGUCUUCGGACCAAAGAUUUAUCGCCUUUGGAUGGGCCCGCGUUGGAUUAGCUAGUUGGUAGGGUAAAAGCCUACCAAGACGACGAUCCAUAGCUGGUCUGAGAGGAUGAUCAGCCACACUGGGACUGAGACACGGCCCAGACUCCUACGGGAGGCAGCAGUGGGGAAUAUUGGACAAUGGGCGAAAGCCUGAUCCAGCAAUGCCGCGUGAGUGAUGAAGGCCUUAGGGUUGUAAAGCUCUUUUAGCCGGGAUGAUAAUGACAGUACCGGGAGAAUAAGCGCCGGCUAACUCCGUG